GUUUCACUGGAAGUAUUAGCGCUCAACGAUAACAACAUCACCAGAGGUCUUCCCGGCACAGCUGUUAAAAAUCUUAGGAACUUGCGACAAUUGAAUAUGACUUCGAAUAGCUGCCACGGAAACCUCCCGGAAUCACUAUUUUCACUUCCACACCUAAAGAUCCUAGAUCUCUCAGCAAAUUUCUUUGGUGGGCAUAUUCCAAUUAGCUCAGCGUCAAGACCAAUUUCUCUUCAAGUCUUGGAUCUUAGCUCUAAUCAGCUCAAUGGAACUUUACCCGUUGCUGCCUUUCAAAACAUCAGGAACUUGAAUUUGUCUGCCAACCAGUUCAGAGGAUCUCUCCCUGUAUCAUUAUUUGCACUUCCUCAUCUGAAGUUCCUAG